UACGUAGGGCGCAAGCGUUGUCCGGAAUUAUUGGGCGUAAAGAGCUCGUAGGCGGUUUGUCGCGUCUGCUGUGAAAACCUAAGGCUCAACCUUGGGCUUGCAGUGGGUACGGGCAGACUAGAGUGAUGUAGGGGAGACUGGAAUUCCUGGUGUAGCGGUGAAAUGCGCAGAUAUCAGGAGGAACACCGAUGGCGAAGGCAGGUCUCUGGGCCGUAACUGACGCUGAGGAGCGAAAGCGUGGGGAGCGAACAGG
rnacentral:rRNA from 1 species